rnacentral:tRNA from 1 species
GGGGAUAUGGCGAAAUCGGUAGACGCUACGGACUUAAAAUCCGUCGACUUUAUA